rnacentral:lncRNA from 1 species
UUAAGUAUCACUCCACCUAAGAAUCAUGCAAAAUGAAGAAAAAGUGAUUUACCUUAUGUAACCAAUAUGCUUGAUAUUUGGUUAUGUGACAUACUUUGAGUAAAAAUUAACAUAUUUUCAACCAUAAUUGUUAAUGCCUACUUUUAAUGUCAUUUAUACCCUAAUAAAAAUUCAGAUGGGCAUGUUUUUCUCACUAUAUAUAAGUAUUGGAAAUAUGAUGGAUGCUAUAAUAUAUAUCUCCUGUGAGCAGGCGAGUUGUAGUAAACUAUUUAGCAUUUCAGAAAAUAUGGAAUCUCCCAAACAACAUAUCAAAAAAUUAUAUUUGUAGCCUAUGAUCAAUAAAAAGUUAUUUUCAUUUUAAAUUAACCGCUUUUUCUUACUAUUUCAAGAAAAGACAACUCUUGUUGAACUUCAAAAC